AGACGAUCCAUCCUGGCCGAGCCGAGGGGGGGCUGCGGGAGGCAGCAGCUUCACCAUCCUGACAAGAGAGGUUUACGGCAGAUGUUCUGGUGGAGUAGAUUAACUGAAUGGACCCACCAGGUGGAAUAAAGCCUGAAAAAAUAACUGAGAUCCGUAUCUCCACCUGAAAAAGCCAAUAGCUUUACUAGUAAAAACAAGUAAAGAAAAGUCAGGACCUCGAACACCUUUCCAAAAUGCCAGGGAAAGGUCUUGCUUUUGGGCUGGUGUGUGCUUUGUGCCAUCACCCCAGAGAGGUGCAGCAGCAUGGUACCAGUGGGAAGGACAAGACCAGAGCAUCUCUACUUUUGAAGAAGUUUGUAGUACUGGAGCUCUUCUUCAGCUCUGUACAUCCGCAGAUUACAAAGCACACAUCUUACAGUCUAACCUGGUAUGUGAGU